rnacentral:lncRNA from 1 species
UCCUUUUUCAUCCUCACAUUCCUCCUUUCCUUACUCUAUUCCUCCCCCUCUCCCUCUUUCGUCUCCUCCCCGCCCUCUUCAUCCUUUUUCUUCUAUCCUUCUUCCCCUAUUGUUCUUCUUUCUAUGAUCCUCCUAUUGGAUAGCAAGAUAUAAGUAGCACAACUAUAAAUCAUUUAGCUGCAAUAAAUCAAAUUUCAAAACAUAAGGGUUCAAGAUUGCAAUAAGUUUUUUUUCUUCUUUCUUCUAACAUUGCAGUAAGUUGGAUCAAUCCUUAUGUAAUUGGCGGGCUAAAUAUGAAUUUUGAAUUCUUGCAAAGAAACAUGAAAAUUCAGAAUUGAAAUUGGUGGGCUAACUAUGAAUUUUGAAUUCAUACAAAGGAACAUGAAAAUUCAGAAAAUAGGGGUUGCCAUUCUAUGACUUCCAUCCUAUCAAAAGGGGAGGAAGACUGAUAUGAAGUAUUUUGGUUUUAGUUAGUUAGAAAUAUCUUAUGAGCCCCAUUCUUCAUUUCUCUGGCUCCAUGUUCCCUGGAACAGCUAAAAAUGCUUAGCAACAUGUUCUUGAACAGGGUAGAAUGCUGCUAUAUCUUUAAGGUAUUCUAGACAUGUCAUUUUUUGACAGAUUGAUCUUCUUCUUCCAGCAGAAAUCUUUUCAAAGUUAAAAUUGCAAUUAAUUAAUCAACCCUGCCCUCCAUACAAUCUUUUCCUCAAUUAAAAAAUAUAAACAAAUAUUUGUUGACCCCAACAAUCAUCUGUAAACUUUGUUGACAGGAUAUUCUGAAACCAUUUGAAAGCAGAAAAUUAAAUAGUUGAUUUCUGGGAAGAAAAAAGAUUCCAACAAGUUUCAUCAUGAGGAUUAAGAUUUCCCUCUCAUGCCUGAGUUCAAGAUGGAUCUGAUGCCUGAGGUUUGUAGUUCCGUUCCACAUCUUGUUAGUGCGUCUGAAACUGUGUGAUCACAGAUGUUGCUCUAAUAGAUUUCAUGCGAGGAGCAUAAAUAAUUGAGAGCAUGGGUGGUUUACUAAAUUAAUAAUUAUAACAUGAAUCGAAUCAAGGCAUAUACUGUAGAACACUUGCAACGUCCUCAUUGCAAUAAUCUAAACUAUGCAAUGUAAUUGUAGCUUUGUCAGCUCACUAUCAUCAUUUUGGACAUGAAAAAUCCUUCUCAUAAUCUUUCCCCAUCAUUAUAAAAUGAAUAUUCUGAUUUUUUUAAUAGAUAUGUUAGCAGCCAUCAGCGCAUAUCCCAUAUCUAACUUCAGCAUUGGAGAAUUUCAUCAGGCACAUCCAAGCAUCUUUUUAUUCUUACAAAUUUUUCAUAGUUCGAUUUGACUUAUUCUUACGAACUAUCCUCUCGGAAUCUAUUAUCGACUAUCAUACUGUUUACCUAGAUAGGUUUUAGGUUAGAAGGAUCCACUCCGUACUUUCAGAAAUUAUGAUGUGCAUUGUACCAAACAAACCUAAUUAUGUUAGUUCUAAUACCCUUAAAGAACAAAUAGGCGCAUGCGCAAAAACAUGCUACGCUAUCUUCCAUGAGAUAAUUGCAGCUGGAGAGCGUAAGAGUGACCGGCUCUCUAAUCUGCAUAUUGACACUUCUUCACCGAGAUAGAAACAAGAAUAAUCUCACAUGACUAAAAUAUCAGAACAUAUAAGCCUGCAAUUUGAUGUAUGGUCGUACAAGUUCCAUCCAAACUGGAUUACUUCAAUAAAAAUUCUAAAAUGGACUUCUCAAUAUUGUAAUUUUUUUUAAAAUUUCUAUGAAUGUAUUCACCCGAGCUCUACCUAAAAGCAUGUUAUCUAUGUUGGGAUCGACAAAUAUUUUUUUUAGAUUUUUUAUUAAAAAUAAAUUACUCAGAAGAUCAAAUUUAGAAAGACAAGGGUAAAUUAUUCAGCUUGAAGAAAUAUAAACUCUUAAAAAUUUCUUGGAUAUAUUCAUUCUCACAUAAAGAAAAUUUUGAGUCUUUCUUAUAUAAACGCAGGCAAAAGAUAUUUUUUAAUUUUGACUCUAUCUGUAUAUAUUUCUUUUGAAUUUCAUAUGUCACAGAUAUGAAUCGCAAACAGACUUAAUCCUCGAUAGGACAUUAUACUAAUGCUUGCGAUAUAUCUAUGUGAAGACAUUACAUCCAUCUCAAUCUUUAUACUUCUUUAAUGGAGAAUAACACACAAGUUGUGGGGAGUAAAAGAGGAGACCUCAAGACCAAAAAAAAAAAAUCAUAGAUCAAUAAGUGAAAUAUAAAUCAAAAAGUUCAUAAAAAAUCAACAAGGGUCGAUAUUGUAUUGUUUACAUUCAUAGAUAAAAUUAAAUUUUUCAUCAAGUAAAAUCAAUUACAUGCACAAUUGAGUUAAUCUCAAGUACAAACUAUCUUCUAAUAUAAAUCCAAAAUAAUUUCUCAUAUAUGGGCACCUAAACUAUUUCCUCAUUUCUUAUUUGUCCAUCAAGAUCUGAAGAUACAUAAGAUAUUUAUAAUAAUAAAUCCUAACUAAGUAAGAACUCUUUUUUUUAAUUGGAUCCCUAAUCAUAUACCAUUUCAUAAUCUAACAAAUGCUUUGGAUUUCAAAAAUAUUUGCCACCCUCAAAGACAAGUGAUAAAGAAAAUUUGUGUCCAACUAAUUAGCAUCAAAAUCUUCCUCCUAUCUACAAAUCUAAAUUCAAUAAAUGUUACUCAGUCAAUCCGUGCUCGAGUAGAUCAAGAGGAUGGGAACGAUGAAACCACAAACAUAGUGGAACAAGUACUUUGAGGCAUACAUCAUUCAAAUGAAUCAAUUAAGAUAUAUAUAUAUAUAUAUAUAUACACGCGCGCAAAACGAGAGGUCACAGCAUAUUUACAAGUAAGAGGAUGCGAUUUUUCGCACGUCGGAAGGCAUGAAAGCCAAGACGAGAAGCACACCGAGAAGGCCGAGAGGAAGCAGCAGCAACAGGGAAGGUGGCGGAGGCAGUGGAGGCAGCACCAGUGGAAGUAUCAACAGCGAUGCUGUGAGGAAGAGAAGCAGUAGAAACGACGCCAUGCUGAAGUAGGCCGACAGUGGAGCACUGAGAUCCGACUCAUGCGGUGGACUUCUCCUGUAGUAGAUGUCUGAACCACCUUCCCAUGUCUUCCUCCCUAUUCUUCUUUCCAUGAAACCACUACAAUGAGCUCCUAUAGGGAUCGGUAGCUCCAAAUACAUUCAAAAGUCGGGUGAUAAUUAACAGCUACUUGAGGCAGGAACACAAGGAAGCAAGUUGGACGAGAUUGGAGAGGAAGAGAAACAGAGUUAUGAUGCAAAGAAACAGAUGCAGGCUGAUCAUGGUGGCUGCAGGUUCUGCCAUUUAUUUGGAUUGGGUGAGGAGGAUGGAAGUGUACGAACGUUUCUGUAUGGGUACAGAUGCACUGCACCCCAUAUUCUCAACGUGGAAAUCCUAUUGCAAGGUGGGUGGCGACCGGUGCACAAAUCGUGUUUUAUUUCUUCUUCUUCGUAGGAAGCAGUGGCAGAUCGAGCUGUCCUAGUAUUCCAAGGUUCCUCUCCCGUGCCCAUCGUCCAUGUCUCUCUCCAUCUGCUGUCGCUUUUUUGGUCUUAUCAGCAGCAGUCGAAAGCUUUCCC